rnacentral:misc_RNA from 1 species
GAAUCCUCAGGUCGACCCUCCGACCCUCGUCGGAGCCUCGGUCUGGACUCGUGGGAGUCUGCGGGCGAAGCGUGUCUUCGUCCGCUCUCCUCAAAAGCAUCGGCCGUGGGCGCCGAGCCUGGCAUGGCACGGCCUCUCCGACGUCGUAGUGAUCGUCGCGGGCUGGAAGUGUACGGCUCGACGCGCCCAUGCUUUGCGAGCCCGUCCCUCGUGGUCGGCCGCGCCCCAUCGAA